CCCGCGCGCGAUCUCCGCGGGGACUGCCGGCGCUUUGGGCCUUGAAUGGAAAUGGGGACGGGGCCUCCGGACCCUCUACCUUGGAUUACUUGGUGCAUCUCCGCUGGGCUUGAUGACCCGCGACCUCGUCUCCAUCCGUGGAUUGAUGCGUUCUUCUACCCAACAGUCGGGUCGCUUCCCGGGAGGUGAAAUCAGAGGCUUGUGGCUGACCUGAAGAGAUGCUUCAAGCCAAGAAAGCAGGACAAGAUAAAAGGCGAGCCGCACUCCGAAGUCAAGGCCUGGAAGCCAGGACAGGUGGAGAACUGUUCCUCUCGCCCACAGCUCCCACCAGGAGCCUCAGUGUAAUCAUGAAGACCCCACGGAGCUAAGAUGGGACCUUCUCUUAAGAGGCAAGUGCUCUGGAUUGGAAUGAGAAGUCUUAUUCUGGAGAAUGGACUUCCCUGGUGGCUCAGUGGGUAAAGAAUCUGCCUGCAACACAGGAGACCUGGGUUCAAUC